rnacentral:rRNA from 1 species
GAUGAACGCUGGCGGCGUGCCUAAUACAUGCAAGUCGAGCGGACAGACGCGGAGCUUGCUCCUCUGACGUUAGACGCGGACGGGAGAGUCACGCGUGGAUCCCCUACCUAUAAGACUGGGAUAACUACGGGAAACUGGAGCUAAUACCGGAUAAUAUCUUGAACCGCAGGGUUCAAUAGUGAAAGACGGUUUUGCUGUCACUUAUAGAUGGUUCCGCGCCGCAUUAGCUAGUUGGUAAGGUAACGGCUUACCAAGGCAACGAUGCGUAGCCGACCUGCGAGGGUGGUCGGCCACACUGGAACUGAGACGCGGUCCAGACUCCUACGGGAGGCAGCAGUAGGGUAUCUUACGCAAUGGGCGGAAGCCUGACGGAGCAACGCCGCGUGAGUGAUGAAAGUCUUCGGAUCGGAAAACUCUGUUAUUAGUGAAGAACAAAUGUGUAAGUAACUAUGCACUUCUUGACGGUACCUAAUCAGAAAGCCCCGGCUAACUACGUG